UUUUUUUUUUUUUUUUUAGUGGAGCAUCUAGGAUUUGGACUGUUUUCAAAAGGAACUUUUGGGUGUCCCUUUAUAAGAGAGGUACUCGAUCUGGCGAGAGAAGACGGCCAAUGUGGAGCCCACAGUAGGUGAUUUGGGAACUUAUGAGGUCCCUUAGACAUAAAACAGGAAAACAUGCAUGUAGGGGGAAGGGGGUCUCUUUGAGAGAUCUGCCCAGAGGUUGCUCUCAAGCCAAGCUCGGAUAAGCCAGUAGGAGAGUCUAACGCAGGAGGGGACGUGACAUGAAGUGAUCUAGCCAGGUUUGGGCACCAUGGGAACGGUCCAACCCGUAAGAAGAAGCAGGUGGUACAGCCCAAAGGAAAAGGCGUGGCCUAGGCGUCGGAUAGAGGCAGGCUGGUGACAUGGCCUUAUGCUCAAUAGUGAUAGCACGCCGCUAUCUGAGGGCAAAGGCCUGGGCAAGUUAGCUCCGGCUCUUAUCAGGAUCCUGCCAGUGGUUUACUUAUAGAGCUAUGGUAGAAAGCCGGAGCCGGAGCGAACCGGAGCAAACCGGAACCGGAGCUGCCGCUAACCGGGCAAGCGCCUCCAGGGCGGGACUUCCGGUUUAUGGACCAAAAGCGGGCGGGUCAGAGGUCAAGAUCUCGCGUAGCGGCGUGACGUAGGGGGGGCGUAACCAAGCUACCCUCGCGCCGGAAACAGCGUGUCAGGAGCCAGCCCACCGGGAUCGAGCGCGGAAAUUGAAAUCGAUUGAGAGAAGAGGAAGUUCCAAAAUAGUGAAUGGCUGGGAUCCGGUGAAUACUUGGAUGUGUACACCUUAGUUUGGAUAAACUCUUCUAAAAACCCCUGUUGCCUUUUCUUCUGCUUUCUGUACUGCUUCUGCAUGAGUCCACUGAGGUGAGAAGAGGCUACUAGGUCACCUGGAGCUGGAGUUAUGAGCCACGUGUCACGGUACUGAGACCUGAACUCACUCGGGUCCUCUGGAAGAGCUUUUGACCAUGGAGCCACAUCAACACUAGGAGGUAAUUAUUCGACAUUGUGUGCAUCUUCCUGAGCACUGUAACUAUUAUGGGACAUUUCUGACUUCCCCAAAAUGAUCACAUCAAAAAUUUCUCAAGACAUGUCCAAAUCUCCCCUGAGAAGAAGAGCAAAAUGAUGCUGUUAGAAAACCACUGAGAUAAAAGGGUACACACUCAGACUUGUGUAUAUGUGAAUCUUGAUGAGUUUAAUGAAAUGGCUAAUAUUCUUUUAAAUGAUUGAUACAUAUCCACUAUUAACAAGGAAUUAGUGUUUUCAAACAUUGCUUUGCUCUAAGAGUCCAGGUUUCUCAACUUCUUUGCAGUUUAUUAAUUAAUGUAGGAAAAGGAAUUCGUUACUAAUGCUAGUUUAGUUACACCUGAUGGCUUGAAAAGUGGAUCAUGAACAUAUUGCCACUGUCAGUUUGUUUUCUCCAACAUUGAUUGUGGCUUCACUGACAGAAAUUAGCAUUGACCAAAAUCAAUUUCUGGCUGCUGGUUAUGCCUCCACCCUACCUAGCCUGGUUUAUUCAGAACACUGACACUUCAUAUGCUUAGACAUAAAAUUGGAAAGGUCAUGUUUAUCUAGUUACUAAUGGUUAUGUGAGUGAGACUUUUCUUUCUGUGGUUUAUUAUUAUUAUUAUUUGUUUUUAUGUAGGGAAGUCAAAAACUGAGGGCCUGAAAUCGGAAUGUUCCUAUUAGAAUUGUUUGAUGGUUUAGUCCUAACCAAGAAAACAAAAAUAGUAGCCCACAGAUGUAGAAUUUUACUUGAUUAACUUUCCACAUUGUAAGUCAUGUUCAUAUUUCUAAGGUGCUUUGAAAAAAAAUUAAUGUACAAUAGGCCUUGAUUGGACUUUCAGGAUGCUACACUGUCUCAACCUAUUUUUUUUCCUCCAUCUUUAUUAAAUUGGGUAUGUCUUAUUUACAUCUCAAUUGUUAUUCCCUUUCCUGGCCUCCAGGCCAACAUCCCCCUAGCCCCUCCCCCUCUACAUGGGUGUUCCCCUCCCCACCCUCCCCCCAUUACCGCCCUCCCCCCAACAAUCACAUUCACUGGGGGUUCAGUCUUGGCAGGACCAAGGGCUUCCCCUUCCACUGGUGCUCUUACUAGGCUAUUCAUUGCUACCUAUGAGGUUGGAGUCCAGGGUCAGUCCAUGUAUAGUCUUUGGGUAGUGGCUUAGUUCCUGGAAGCUCUGGUUGAUUGGCAUUUCAACCUAUUUUUACCCAGGAAAUAUUAUGGUCUUUGCUGUACCACUGAGCAUAUGUCCUCUUGUGAUAAUGCACCCUUCCCCUGCUUAGUUAAAAAGACAGUACUGAUUGUUUCUGCCAACUUCACUGGCAGGGGAAGACCUGCUGUAUGUACACUCAGGACCUAGAAUGACCGAGAAUGUGGAAUCUUAAAGAAAGGUAAAGAAAAAAAACUCUUUGCUAGUUCCCACAGUAAGAGGAUUGCUAACGUGUCUUUAACAUUCUCCUUCUGAUGUUUUAGUCUGAUUUGUCAGAAGCAGCAUUACUGAGAGGUAGUAGCUCAUUCAGACACCAGCGUUUCAGGGCAUCCCUGAGUACCGAGCUUGUAUGUUUCCUUGCUGAAGUCAUCUAUGGUUAUGAACUAAGACUGAUGCCUACUGUCUUAUAAGAUAAGAGACUGAAACCGGUGACUAUUAUGACUUGUAAUUUAACAGCCCGCAUAUGUUAGUCAAUAAUGAAAUUCCCAGUCACUAGAAAAGAAAUGAGGUGGAAGGUCCUAAACUUAGUGAGAGAAAUUUUCCUUUGCUAUUAAUGAGAUGUGACAAAUAUGAGCUAGAGUGGGAUAGUACAAAUGUAAUGUUACUCCAGUGAUUGGUAAUGCUCAUGGUCUCUGUACCUUUAGAAAGAAGUCACCUCACACCUGGGACCCUAGGGAGGCCAAGGCAGGAGUUCCAAGACAUUCUGAGCUUUGUAGCUGUACAACAGUAUCUUACACAAAACCAAACAGACUUGAGUGUAGUGUGAGUCUCUAAAAUAUAGUAGUAUGAGUCUCUAAAAUAUAGCCACAAGUCACUUGUUAUUUACAAGUAAAUUUUAAUUUCAUUAAACUUUUAUAAUUGUGCCUAUUCCUUGCUAUAUUUAUACCAUACAUUUCCAUCUUCAGAGAAAAUUUUAUCAGACGAUACUGCUCGGUAUUAUGACUGCAUUACUAAGUUCUCCCAGUUUUCCAAUUUUGAAGGCCAUCGGACUUGGAGAGCAGUAGUACUAGCAGGCUUGUUUUAUGAAGUCUUCAGGAAGAUUUCUAGUGGAGGAUGGAAUGCCCAUUCAUCAGCCUUCCAAUAACCUUGAGAAACAAUGGCUGGAUUAAGAAUUUCUUGAGUUUAAAGUUAUGUGCGGCUCCCUGGAACUAACAGGAAGCCCUGGAGCUAGACACAGGGAAUGCAGGCUUUAUUUUCUGAGGUAGCAAUGCCAUGUGAUUCCACUGGUUGGUCAGUUCAGCUUCUGGGUUUCCCCCAUAAGCCUGAUAGUCCAGCAAAGCCAUUUGUGCUUCUGUGACUGUCGGUAAAGCCUUAAUGAGAGCCUGUGUACUCCAUCAUAAGACCAAAGCCUACUAAGAAGGUCUUUGGUUCCAUGGGACCUCAUGAAAAAGACAGGAUAGAGAGGCAGUGUGGCAGGUGGGAGUAAACCACAAUGGUCAUUCUCAUUUUCCUAAGAGGUUAGAAAAGAGGAAAGGAAAAUCAUUCUGGUAAUUCGUUGUUUGAUUUUUUUUUUUUUUUUGAGCCAGGGUCUUACUGUAUAACUCAUGCUAGCUUAGAACUCAUACAGAUUUGCUUGCCACUGCCUUCUGAAUGAUGGGUUAAAGACGUGCACCACGAUGCCUGGUAAUAAAUUUUAUGUAAGCCUGUGUAGUCAGGAUGUUGAACUCUUUAAGAAUUAUUUCUAAGUGAAUUUUAGAAGCAAGUCUUCAUAGCUGGUGGGUGUGUUCCAUUUCUAGCACCUCGUGCAUUGGACUGAUCAAGGAAGGCAGCAGGAAGAAAGCAGGCCUUGAGAAGGAAGGACAAAUGGGGUGAGAUAAGGUGGACUUUAAUACAACAGUCUCUAGCAUGAGCACACUGGGUAUUUCAGGAAUCUGCUGAGAGUCAGGACACAGAUAUAGAGGGGUGAGAACGGAAGUUUCAUAGGAUGUUUGGGAUCUAGAGGCCUGAGCUGGUUGGCUGUCAUAGGCAAGGGGAGGAAGUGAUAAACCUGAAAGGUCCUUAAGGAAGAAGUAAUAUAGUGGUCGUUGUGGUAAUGGGAAAUAAAGAACAAUCAAAUGACACUAGUAAUGCUCUUACUUGGUCAGUCUACAAGUUGGGGUGUUUGUUUUUCAGAGUAGAAAAAGGACAUGACUAACAGAUCUAUCAUGGCACUGCACCUUUGCUCACUCCAUGACUGACAAAAAUCACGCUCUCCUUUUCUUUUCCCACCUGUGUGAAAAAGUCCUUGGUUAGACCGAAGGGAAAUGAACAAAUUCCGGGAGAUUGUUCCAGACUGCUUUUUGUUUAAGAGAAGAAAGGAGGAGACGAGAGUUUUUUCUUUUUAGAAAAACAAGCUAUUGGCAAAAAGCUGGUGAUGAACCAGCCUGCCUCCAUCUUAAAUAAAGGCCAUCUUAUAGUAAAGACAACUAGGUUCAUUCCUGUUUAUGAUUAAGCCUCUGUGUCUGAAGGAUUGGGCUAUGCCCACCUGUACCCUUAACUACAAAAGGUUCUUUACUGCCUGUUCCAGGAAUGGCCAUCAUGUUGUGGUUCCUAAAGUCGGUGAUAACCAUCUUGCAACCCUACCUUUGUUUCAGAGGGUUAUAUGAGCAUCUCUGACUACCUUGUUAUGGCUACCUGUUGUUAUGACUACCUUGUUCUGCCCUCCUCCGACCAUGUCUUUGUGUCAGGAGGGGUUAACUUGUUAUCCUUACAUUCUGUACCUAUUUUGCCUGCCAAAUCUCCCAUUUGGAAAUCUCCUAUCCCUGAGCUAUAAAUAAAAGUGUUGUGUUCCUCACAUACAAUGCUGACCUCUGGAACCCUGCCUUAGGGGGAGGCACCCCAUGUAUGUGAAUAAAAAAGCUGGCUUUAGAUAAUUUGGACAUGAUUUGGGUCUGUGGUCUCUCUCCUCCCAUCUUUGGGACUGACACUGGAUCCACCAGGAAGUUGGUAAGGAAGUCUUGCUGUCAGUGUCUAAGUUAGUAAAAGGGCAGGUGAGUAUGGGGAAAGAAAGUACAAAUGAAACUGCACUUGGAAGCCAGAAGAGGCCAGUUGAAAGGGUAGGCCCAGGUCUCUGCAGCCAAUGAGUGUGAGUGAGAGAGUAGACAGUUUCCCUUCUCCCUACCACCUUUCUGUUGUUUUUUUCAAGAUGGUUUCUCUGUGUAGCCGUGGCUGUCCUGGAACUUGCUCUGUAUACUGGGCUGGCCUUGAAUUCAGAAUCCAUCUGCCUCUGCCUCCCAGUAUCCCACUGCCCAACUCAGCUUCGGUUUCCUGAAAUGGUAAACGAUUAUGGCUGACUUAUGAGUAUCAUCACAGGGAGUUCUUGACUAGUCCCCUUCUUUCCCAGUUUUAACAGAGACCUUAUUCAUUAGCUUUGAAGAAGAUGAAUUCGAUGGCUAUCACUUAGUAUGCCAGAGGGGAAGAUAUAGUCUCUGUGACAGAUGUUCAGGUGGCUGUAGUGGCACUAGAGAGACAGUCUGGGAUACAGAGAGAGACCCUGUCUCAAAGGAUCAGAGCCAUUUAAGGAAUUUCUAGAAAGAUGUCCAUUCUGAUCAGGCUAUACUAUUAAAAUAGUAUGUCAUUUAAAAUUUGUAUUCUAGUUGGUUUCUAAAGGACAUAGGCUUCAGGUAUCUCCAGAGAUAAAAAAGACAACUGUAUUAUACAGGGAGUAAUAAAAAGCAUCCUGUUUUCAGAAGCUUCUUACAGAGCCUUCCUGUGCCCACUUUGCCAAGUUCUAACUCAAAAAAGUAAAGUUUUCCUUUCUUUCUCUUUUUUGGAUGCUGACCAGAAGCCUGGGCAUGCUUUCUCUGGUACUCUUUCUGUAAGGUUGCUUACCUCAUUUCCUGUGACAGGCCUCUGCUAUUCAGUAGCCCUGCCCUUGUCAGAUGUUCCCAUCUAUAGUCAUAUAAUACAACUUUCUAAACUAAAAAAAAGACCUAAGUUUUCAUAGAACAGGAGUUCUCAACUGUGGCACUCAAGAUUUUGGGCUGAAAAAUUAUGGGAGUACACAUAUAUUCUAGGGCAGUGCUGUUCAACCUGUGGGUGAUGGGUGACCCCUUUGCAGGUUACAAUCCUUUCAUGGGGGUAGCAUAUCAAAUAUUUACAUUAUGACUCAUAACAGUAGCAAAAUAAUUACAGUUAUGAAGUAGCAGCAAAAUGAUUUUAUGCUUUGGGCUCACCAUUGCAUGAGGAACUCAGGAGCUUUUUAUUAUUCCCCUGUAUUAAAAGGUUUGCAGCUUUAGGAAGGCUAAGAACUAGGGAUAUUUAGAACAUCUCUAUCAUUUGUCCGCUAGAUGGCACUGCUGCACCUUGUGAUAGUAUGACCAUCCUGAGGGGGGCAGAAUCACUGGUCUAGACAGACUCUAGACAGUUCCCUGUCAUUGUUGCUGUGACACUUGUGCCCACCCCCACCCCCAAUACACACAUACCUGGAAAGAAGAAUGAAUAUAUAUUUUUGAAUUUCUAUUUUUAGCAAUCGAAGGAGAGGAGCUGUCUUUUCUGUGAAGGUGAGUGAGAAUAUGCAGAUUUCUGUUUGUGUGGAACUAGGAGCCUUCCCAGGCACUUAGGUCCAUAAGUUCUUCGUCUUAGUUUACCUGAAUUUCAGAUGAAACCAGGAAACAGAAAUUGACAAAGGGAAACGAUUUAUUUGUAAAUUGGGCGAAUAUUGAGUAGUUGGCUUAUUAAUUUUAAGUGUGUUUACAAACUAGAAGACAGAAAUUUGUGGAGGUGGUAAUUUUAUUCAACUCUGAGCUUGGAGAACUGAGUUCUAGGCCACAGGCCUCAUAGGAAAGCACUCCCCAUUUUCCCAGGGAGCCUCAGAUCUUGGGUUUUUCUAGGGCAGUGGGUAGAAAACUUCUGCUCUUACAGUCCUUUGUUCUCCCAUAGAGAGAUUUAUUCUAACUCUUCUGCAGUUUUGGAGCCCUGAGGACAUCCUGAAGUCCUAUUAACAUACUAAUAAGGGAAGGAAAGAAGUUUGAGCCCAAGUGUGAAGGAUUAGUCUGCCAGUGAAUAUGGUGAUAAUCAAGUCUUACAGGCUUUGUUUAUUUUGCAUAUUAAUGCAUACUUUGUAGUCUGUUCUGUUAUAUACUCAUUUAAUUUCUUUCCUACCCGGACAAGGCCAUCUUAACAAUUUAUAGGAUGGCAGGAGACCGGCUAGAACAUGGGCAGAUUUAGCUCUGAGGUGCGUUGUCUAGUCCAUCACUGGGUAGAAGGGAACCGAACUCCAGGUCGCUUCUGUUCUCUCUUAAUGGAGAUAGGUUUUUCUUUAAGUCUGGGCUGAGGAAAAUGGAGUUGUAAUGAUACCAUCCUCCAGUUUUAAAAAGGAAAACAACCACCUUUUAUUUUUUUAAGUGUGUGUGGGGGUGAAGGGGCACGGUACAAUUCCCACUCAUAGUCUUUGCCAAGUUCUUUGUGCCUAUGUAUGGAAGUGGAAGCCUUUUGUAUUUUGUCUUGUGUGUGAGCUUCCUUGUGAAUUUCUUUCCUGUAAGGAUUCAAAUUCUCUGAGUGAAAAAAGAUGAGUGUGAUCUCUGCAGGGACCUGCUGUCUCUCAUUAGCAGUGGUUCUCACCCUUCCUAAGUGCUAUGACCCUUUAAUACAGUUCCUCAUGUUGUGGUGAUACCCAAACAAAAUUAUUUUGUCCCUACUUCAAAACUGUAAUUUUGCUUCUGUUACUGAAAGACCCCCCCACUCUCGAAAGAAAAUUAUAUGAGCUUAAGGUCCACAAAUACAAAGUAAAAGUUUUAAGAUUCACAGACUCAGAGCUGAAGCAGGCCUGGGCGAGCCCAGACACGCCCAGGCACAUAGGGCCUGCGUCACCGCUAGAACUAACAGACCAUAAAAGGAAAAAGAAUGCAGAACAAGCCCGGGGUAUCGGAUCUAACUCAUGGGCCAUCUGGCAGGAAGAGAUAAGCCCCUAGCCCCUGACAUUCCAGAUGCCCCAGCCUGCACAUAUUCUUUUACCAUGUUGUAACCUCAUUUGAAUGUGUUUAAAACAGCCAAUUGUGUGUAGCUAUACAUUUGUGCCUCAUUUGAAUAUUGUAUGGAAUAGCCAAUUAUGUGUGACCAUGCUUCUGCGCCUCAUUUGAAUCCACCAAUCCCUGUAACCAUGCAUCUGCUUCUGUAUGCCUGCUUCUGCUCCCCAGAACCCUAUAAAAGCCCCCUGCUGGAUCUGCACGGCGCGGAAGUCUUCCAAAGAGACUGUGUGCCCACAGGUACCUGUGUUAAUAAACCCUUGUGCUGAUUGCA